AAGUGGCCGACCCUCCUCCUCCUCCUCCUCUUCCUCUCUCCUCUUCCCUCGACCGAUCCACUGUGCUACAGGCGCUCGCCCGCACGGAGCCUUCAGGGACUGUCGGGAAGUCUGAACUUGGUGAUUCCCUUACACUGCUUUUCAUUUAAGGGAAGGAAUCCUGGUGAUCCAAAAAGAUCAAGAGAAUGACGAGUUGGCAAAAAAAACAAGAUGGGGAAAGGCUCAAUCUUUGCUAUGGUCACGCACCUUCAUUAAAUUAGUCAAGGAAGAAUAGGAGUAGCUCAUGGCUUGCAGGGAUAUGUUGGGAUGAAGUUACACUGUCUUCUUUCCGGUGUAAUUCAGGCAUCCUGCUGCAUGGUCUCACUUUCUAUCCUAUGGUUGGGACUGGGUUCCGUUGGAGGAGAGCAGUCUGGUUCUCUCUUUUGCCGAGCCUCUGCGCUGCAGAACUCCCCCGCUGCCUCCUAUGCCUCCGCCAUCUGUUCGGUCGCCCCACUCGCACCUGUCGCCCCCGCCCUCGGAGCGCCUCGAGUUUUGGCGGGUGGGGGUCCCAUGGGGCCGGCCGUUCUUCUCAUCUGGGAAGGGAUCUGUAGAGGAGGACAAGAGAGUCACACUUCAGCCUCUGACCUAGAUUGACUAAUUGAUGCAUUGCGAAAAAGAUCCUGCCCUGACAAGGCUGCACAGGCUUAUGACUAUCGGGUCAUAUGGUUUUGACGCAGCGAUGGACGUCAGGGAUCGACCUAGAGUACUGUGACACACACACAGACACACACCCUGUGACACAGCAAAUGCUUGCAAUAGAUAUUGAACAUUUUGAAAAUGCGUAUCAGUCGAGAAUUCCAAACAAAAGCUCUCAACUCUGUAAACAUUCUCAGGCAGGAAGCUAAGACACACUGCAGACACACACACACACACACACACACCAUGCAUCAGUUAGUCCAUCAAUCAGAUUCCUACUAGUGUUCAUUUGCAAAUAUGCAAAAAAGGGCUCCUGUAUGUAUCUAAACAAGGUGAAAAAUCUUGUCUUACCAGAUAGGGCUUGCACCAUUGGUUGAUCAUGAGAGCUGAGAAGCUGAGCUUGAAUCGUUUCCACCACUCUUCUGAACCUGCGACUUGGACCUGGAGAUCAUCCAAGGCACACACAUACAACAGUCGCGAAUGAUAAUUGUGCCGUCAUGAUACCCAAGUUUCAGUGCCAAAUCCAAAACAUAUCUAUUUUCAGACCUACUUUUACUGUGUUUAAGGAUAUUUUUUUGACACACACCUUUUUCUAAUUUUGUAAAAUAGGCCAGACUUCUCAGAUGCAUCAUUACCCAGUGUCUACACAAAACACAGCCUUAUAUAACUCUCAUAUAACUCUCUGCCAGAAAGUGAUUAGGCCUAACCCUAAACGUCAACUUGCCUGAUAUGAGGGUGAACGUCACGCUGUAGAUUCCUGUCUCCCUCCUGCCCUCCCUCUCCGUCCUCUCCCUGUCCCGCUCCCUCUCGCCCUCUGAGAAGGCAAUGUCCACCUGGAACUUGACGGGUUUCUGGAAGACGGAGGGGCCGCCGGAGGACUUGUACUCGGCCCUGAAGCUGGUCUGGGAGAGGACGCUGUGACUGAGUGACGGGAUCUGUGUGGUGGGGAGACAGAGAAGAAGCAGAGAGACCGACAGACUUACGAGGCGGGAGAGGUACGGGGGCCAACCUGUAUCCAGGGCCCUGCGAGGCGGGGUGGGAGACCCCUGUUCAGUAACGCUCAGCACCUCCAGGCUUUUCCUCUCGGGGCGGCAGCGGCCGUGGCGCGUCAGCAUCGGAGAGUCGACACGCUUUCGAGGAGGGUCUGCUGAAGGGCACCACCGUAAAGUUGUAACCGGAUACACCAACAUCACUUCUAGCAGUGUAUAGCUCAAACUAUUAUAUGAUGUGUUGUGUAACUGCCAUAAAGGAAUAAAGAUGGUUUGUUUCGUUGCCA